AGCAGCCGCGGUAAUUCCAGCUCCAAUAGCGUAUAUUAAAGUUGUUGCAGUUAAAAGCUCGUAGUUGAAUUUCGGGAUCAAUAUGUCGGUCGUGCCUUCGGUACGUACUGGUAUCAUUGGUUUCUCCCUUCUGACAAAUCAUGAUGUCAUUAAUUUGGUGUUAUGGGGAGUUAGGACUGUUACUUUGAAAAAAUUAGAGUGUUUAAAGCAGGCAUUAGCUUGAAUACAUUAGCAUGGAAUAAUGAAAUAGGACGUUUGACCCUAUUUUGUUGGUUUCUAGGAUCGACGUAAUGAUUAAUAGGGAUAGUUGGGGGCAUUAGUAUUCAAUUGUCAGAGGUGAAAUUCUUGGAUUUAUUGAAGACUAACUACUGCGAAAGCAUUUGCCAAGGAUGUUUUCAUUAAUCAAGAACGAAAGUUAGGGGAUCGAAGACGAUCAGAUACCGUCGUAGUCUUAACCAUAAACUAUGCCGACUAGGGAUCGGAUGAUGUUAAUUUUUUAAUGACUCAUUCGGCGCCUUAC
rnacentral:rRNA from 1 species